rnacentral:rRNA from 1 species
ACGCUCGACACCUACUGGAGGCAGCAGUGGGGAAUAUUGCACAAUGGGGGAAACCCUGAUGCAGCGACGCCGCGUGAGCGAAGAAGUAUUUCGGUAUGUAAAGCUCUAUCAGCAGGGAAGAAAAUGACGGUACCUGACUAAGAAGCCCCGGCUAACUACGUGCCAGCAGCCGCGGUAAUCUGAGCGGGCUGGCAAGGC